AUUUUUUUGGCAUACUACAUAUAUCCGUCACGGGUGCGGCUUUUUUUUUUUAAAUCAAUAAUUGUUUCUAUGGAAAAAGCACAAAAUCAAAAGUCAACAUUUUAAGAUUUUUUGAUUGAAAUGGGUUUUUCUUAGUGUGUUUAUGCUAAGUUAUAAGUUUCAGACGAUUUGAGUUGAAAAUAGUAGAGUUAUGAUUUUUUUCAAAAAAAAUGUAUGGAGCCGAACAAAAAAUCAAAAUAUCUCAAGAACCGCAACAAAUACGGUAAUAUCCUCGCGGACGGUUAUUCUACGAAUUAUUUGUGAUUUUUUGGCAUACUACAUAUAUCCCUCACGGGUGGGGGUUUUUUUUAAUCAUUAAUUGUUUUUAUGGACAAAACACAAAAACCAAAGUCAACAUUUUAAGAUUUUUUUGAUUGAAAUGGGUUUUGCUUAGUGUGUUUAUGCUAAGUGAUAAGUUUCAGACGAUUUGAGUUGAAAAUAGUAGAGUUAUGAUUUUUUUUUUCAAAAAAAUGUAUGGAGCCGGAACAAAAAAUCAAAAUAUCUCAAGAACCUCAACAAAUACGGUAAUAUCCUCGCAGAUGGUUAUUCUACGAAUUAUUUGUGAUUUUUUGGCAUACUAUAUAUAUCCGUCACGGGUGCGGUCUU